CGCCCCACCGAAUCAGCGCCGCCGUAACCGCCAGCGUCACCGCGCAAUGAGAUCCCGCGGCUUCUUAUGCGUCGCGUCGCGUCGCCCAGACCAGCCGCGGCCCUACUCCGUCCAGCGCGCCCUCGAGGGCCUCCGCCCCUGCCUCGUCCGCCCUCGCCGCGCCGGCGCCCGCUCGAAUCGAGCACCCGCCGACUUUCCUUGCCCGCGAACACCUCCCUCUACAAAAGCAUAUGCCGGGCAACCCCCAGCGAGUUUGCCCAUGGACCUCUCGGAUGCCCCGGAGGUGAGGUUGGGAUCGGGUCCCCCGCCGCAGAUUUUCCAGACCGGUCUCAUAGUGCGCCACUGGACUCUUAUCUAAUUUUCCCCUCAUUUAAUUGUGCAGCUUCCCGCGCCGGAGAUCAAGAUCGUCGCCGUCUUCCCCACCGCCGGCAAAAGUUGCCUGCUACCGCGUCUCACGUGCUCAGGUGAGUUUCUGUGCAACCUCUCGCUGCAGUCUUGCUUGCCAUCAGCGAGCAAGGGUGAAACUACCAGAUUUGGUGUUACUGUUGUAAGCGGAGAAAAUGUGAGACUAGCCACAAUGGAGAGUAACAUACACUAGUAACAUACACAUAUCCCUAGACUAUGUUAUAGUUUUGAAUAUACACAUCUGUCUUGUAACAUCUGAACAUGAAAUCCAUCUAGUUUCCCUAUGGCGCUUAUUUCGAUAUCGAUCCAGACAGUUAAAGUACGACAAUACUGAGUACAUUCAAAAAACUACAAAUUCAAUAUAUGGAAUACAACCGCAUCUGCAAUCACAAGCACUACAUUUGUAUAGUACAUAUAUCUGUAUUAUAUAACAUCUGAAUCUCUUUUAAAUAUGCACAUCUGUAUUAUAACAUCUCCAGGUACAACCCAUCUAGUUUUCCUUAUACAAAAGGAUUAGGAUCAUGUUGAAUGAGAUUCAAGCUAUAGCUUGGAGCAGUCUUGGUAUAGGAGGCAUCGUAAUCUUAACUAGUCCUUCAAGAAUCUGAAGCACCCGUUCCAUUGUUGGCCGAUCAAGCUCCUCAUCUUGGAUGCACCAACAUGCAACCUUGCAAGCCAGUUCAACUUCAUCCAAAUUGACAUCACCAUGUAGCUUGUCAUCUACCAAACUCCCGACAUCUCCUUCAAGAAGCUUUUGUGCGGCAUGCACAGGGAAAUACACGUCAAGGUUGCCACUGCUAGUACAUGGUGCCCAUGAGUUUCUCUUUCCAGAUAUUAUUUCCAGCAACAUCAUCCCGUAGCUAUACACAUCAACUUUUGGUGUGAUGGCAACGCCACUAAUCCAUUCAGGUGCAAGGUACCCGGAAGUUCCUCUCGUUGUAGUCAGUACUCGGCUAAAUUCCCUUCCCAAUAGCUUUGCCAUCCCAAAGUCUGCAACUUUGGGAAUUAGUGAAUCAUCAAGAAGUAUGUUUUCUGGCUUAAUAUCACAGUGUAUGAUGCAGUCUCGACAGCUCUCAUGCAAGUAGGCUAAACCUCUAGCAACCCCCAGGGCUAUCUGAUAUCUAAUAGUCCAACUCAAUAUCAUUGAAUUGUUUCGAAAUAGAUGGACAUCAAGAGAGCGAUUUGACAUGUGUUCAUAAACAAGCAACCUCUUGGAACCCUCACAACAAAAACCGACAAGCUUAACUAAAUUGACGUGUUGGACAGCUCCAAUUGAGCUCACUUCAGCUCUGAAUUGCUUCUCUCCUUGAUAAGCACCGUCAAGCCUUUUCACUGCUAUAGCUACCGAGCCAUUUAAAAAACCCUUGAAUACAGAACCAAAACUGCCUGCCCCCAACUUAUCUGUGAAUUUUGUUGUGGCUUGUUGUAAAUCAGUGUAUCUAAAUGCAAUGAUUCUAUUGCAACCUUGAACACCAUCGAGUAUAUGGCUAGAGCUCUUGCUUUUGUUUCUCCAAAUCAUUACCAGGACAACAAGUGCAAAUAAAACUAGAGCAGAAACACAUGUACCAGUUGCAACUCCAAUAACAAUCCCCUUUCUGUUGUUUUUCACUCCGUGGAAAUCUUUAGCAGAAACGCGAAGGUAAAGAGUUUCUCCAGUUGGACUUGAAGUACCACUACAUUCUAGCGCUCGUAUAUUGAGCAAUUCAUUAUGCCAGAUAGAACAUCUUCCAUCAUUGAAGGAAUAUGCGGUGCAAGAGCAAUCCCUCAGACAAACUUGUGCACACUCGCUCGCACUUGCAGCAGCUUCUAGUUUUGGGGCAUUCUCCGGAAACUCAACACAUGACACAGAGUAGAACUUGUCUGUUGUAUGAGUUGUGCUUUUGUUGCUAAUGCAGUCUAACGGAGUAUUUCUUGAGCACCCACCUGUUCGAUCUUCUAGCUCCCAAUCCAUUGGGGAUGUUAUGGUGAAGCCCUCCAUGCAGUUGCAAUGUGGAAGCGCAUUAUCAUUGCAAAUUGUGAAAGAUCCACAGAUUGCAAAGACAUCACACUGAAGUUUCGGUUGGGCAUAGAUCAUUGUCCAAUCCUGUGAGUCCUCCAGCCAAAUGAACGCUUUUCUUUGACCUGAGAUGUCCAUUACAUUACGAGUAACCAUAGAUUUAUUGACUAAGUUAACUGUCAAAUACCUCUCUUGGUCAUUGAUGACAAAUGUUGUGUUGAAAACUGGGUUGCUGACUUUCAUCUCUGGUAUUGAGGGAAAAUAUUCGCCGUUCCAUACACCUGUCGACCAAUAUGGUAUGGAGGAGUUCAACGGUGUAAGCAUGAACUGAUUGAGACCACUGGGGUCUAACGCAUAACAAUAGACACCGGUAGCUGGAUUGUUCAAGUUCUUCCAAGGAACAAGGCGGCGAUUCAGGCCAGUGACCUUGUCCCAUCCUAACUUCGCCCCAGGGAAAAGUGUAUCUGUGGGGUGAUCAAAGCUCUGCCACAGAACCUCUGAUGAGUUUGAAGAGUCUGUUAGGAUGAAAUUUCCAUUACUCAAGAGCAUAGCAGUGGUGCUAUUUCUUGUGAUGUUUUCUUGUGUACUCCAGAUUAUGGACUUGGUGAACCGGUUUAAGAUGACAAGGUUGCCAUCGUGGGAGAUUGUGAGCUCCGGUGAGGUGGUGUUCUUGAUUGGUGUAUCCCUAUUUGCAACCCACGCAGAAGUAAAUUUGGGUACUGUAUUGAACCAUAUGCCAAGGUACCAGUUGGUAGUGUCUUGGGAGGGUUUGCUGCUGCUUUUGUUGAAGAAGCCAAGCGCAUACCUGCCAUUUUUGGAGACGAGCUUUGCGUUGACAGCAAGUGCUUGGCCGGCCAAGAUGGUGUCCAUCGAGGCAGAAUUUGCUUGGGUGCACAGGAAGAGGAGCAAGGUGAAAUCUAUGAGGAGAUGCAUGAUGAACUGAAGAGGAUGGCAAACCUGAGGAUGCCAGAUACUACAGAUAUAAGUGCUCAAGCUUCAAUUGUCUGGUCAUAGCAGUAAAAGGCACGGUGGAGCCAAAAGUCAAGAGUUCAUGACAACCAUACAAACCGGUGGAAAACUGUGAAGCAUCAAUGGUCUUAUUCUGGACUCCUUGCUUUGACAGCAGUGAAAAACUUGCUUUGGACUGGGUUUGCGUGGUGGAGACUCUAGAAUGGAGAGGAAAGAGACAUGCGUGGGCAUGAUCAAAGUAUUGUCUAUCACAACAUGACAAGUAUGUGGACACUUCAGGCGCUAGCUUGGUCUUAAGGUGCCAUAUUUUUAAGGAAAAAUAAACGCCAGUUAAUACAAGUCAUGUUAAGUCUUUUAUUGGUAUUAUACACUGCUGUAAAGUGUUCUUUUGAUCACACUGUUGGUAUUCUUUUGUGUAUUAAAGAGGGCAACAACCAUGACAUAUUUCAGUUUAUUUACUAGAAAUAAUCUUGUACCUCUCACGAGGCUACAACUCUGUAGCUGAUCUGAUUGCUUUUACUUCUGUAUAUGCACUUCACUAUGUAAUCUCACGAACUUCUGUUAUUUCCUUUCCUGUAUUGGCACUUAUCAUUUGGGAAAAAGAAAGCCUUAUACCUAUUGUCAGUCAUGUCUCUCUGUCCAAAGAAAUCUAUUAAUUUUUUCUAUAUGAAUGAACUUUUUUGUUUUGUUUUGCAGUCUAUAGAAUUAUUUUCGUACGAAUCCAUUUGCACAGUUAGUUUGCACUAUUGCUUUGUGCAUUGAGUGCAACCACUUUGGAAUAUUCCUUUACUUUUUAUUUGACUAAUGAAAUAUCUUUUCAAUACUGUUGAAUUUUAAAGGGAUUUAAAUUAAAGUGACAUAAUACUAGAAAUACUCCCUCCGUCCGAAAAAGCUUGUCCCAAGCUUGUUUCUCAAAUGGAUGCAUCUAGCACUAAUUUGGUGCUAGAUACAUCCAUUUGAGAGACAAGUUUUUUCGGACGGAGGGAGUAUAUGUUUUUCUUUCCGUGCUUUGACUGAAUGCAUCCCUGUAGGCAUAGAAGACUAUCUUGUGGCCUCACUCAGUGUGGUGGUGCUACCGUUGUGGCCUCACUCUGAAAAUCUGUUUCUUUAGACAUGGUCGCGAUUUUUUGUCAUGUCACAGAAAUUCAGAUGCCAUUUAAAACCCCAUCUUGAUAUAGAAAAGAAGUUGCAAAACAUAGUAUGGAUAGUAGUUAAUUCAAACCAGGUUGUGGAUAAAACUAUCGCAACUGAAUUUGCUGUUUUGUUUCAUGAGCUGCGCUCUGAAUCUGGACCUAAAACUUCACAAGAUGAUAAAUCCUUGUGAGAACAAGAGAAUAACCAGACGGGAAUGCGUCACCUACUCACUUUGUGUCUUUUCACUGGAGGUGUGCCGCUCAUAAAUUCGGGAAAAUAACAGAUACAGGUCGCCGGAGUCGAGAAUAUAUAAGACACAGAGAAAGAUUGGUGUAUUUGUGUAGUUUGGAGGCCUCUUGCUGCGGACAUCAUGAAAAUCAAUGUUGAUGCUAGUUUUCAACAGGUUGCCUAUGAGGCUACUACAGGGUGUCUGAUGACGGAUGGAAAUGGAAGACUGAAGACUGCUGCCAAUGUCUUUGCGAUGUGAUGUUCAGAUAGAGGUUGAUGUAAAAAUGACCAAAGUAAUGCUAGAGAGUGAUGCCCAUGUCCCUUUCAACUUAUGGACCAAUGAUGGUGAUGACAUAUCGGAAGUUGCAAAGUCCUGAAGGAAGAAGUUGAGGACCUCAGCAGCAGCAGGUUUACUAGUUUUCAGUUCAGUUUUGUUCAUAGGGCAGCUACUGUAGCAGCCCAUUUACAUGUGGAAAAAAAAUGCUUCUGCUUCCUUAUUGCAACUUAAAUAGAGAUAGAUCGUUUGUAACAUCCGGAACGAUGAAACUAGGGGGUCAUCGUCCCAAAAUAUAGAAGAGUUCAAAGCAAAAAAACAUGUCUAUCUAAAUUCUGCGCC
rnacentral:lncRNA from 1 species